GAUGAACGCUGGCGGCGUGCCUAACACAUGCAAGUCGAGCGAACGGACCAGAAGUUUGCUUCUCUGAUGUUAUCGGCGGACGGGUGAGGAACACGUGGAUAGCCUACCUAUAAGACUGGGAUAACUUCUGGAAACCGGAGCUUAUGCCGGAUAAUAUUUUGAACCGCAUGGUUCAACCGUGGAAGACGGUCUUUCUUUCAGUUAUAGAUGGAUCCGCGCUGCAUUAGCUAGUUGUUAAGGUAAGGACUUACCAAGGCCACGAGGGAUAGCCGACCUCGGAGGGGGAUCGGCGACACUGGAAUUGAGACAGGGUCACGACCCCGACGGGAGGGAGAAGUAGGGAAUCUGACGAGAGGGGAGAAAGCGGGACGGAGCAACGGCGAGGGAGUGAUGAAGGUCUCCGGAUCGGAGAAGUCUGUUAUUAGGGAAGGACAUAUGGGUAAGUAACUGUGCACAUCUUGACGGUACCUGAUCAGAAAGCCACGGCUAACUACGUG
rnacentral:rRNA from 1 species